AGGGGGGGGUCAAAUUUAUUUUUGCCAAUUUUGCUCAGAAGCAGAGAUACAAUUAAAAGUCUUGCUCUUGUACUAGCCUCGAUAUCAUGAGCGGCUUGUUCUCGAGGUCACUGCAUAGCUGGGUUUGAGACUUGUAUCUCUAGCUCUGUUUCUGAGCAAAAUUGGCGAAAAUAAAAUUUGAUCCCCCCCUGAAAAAUAACGUUUUAAACUGAUAGACACUAAAAACUAGGCUUGAAGUAGUCUGCAAGAGAAGUUUGGAUAAAUCCAAUUAGUGACCUUAAUUAGCUAAGGUCAAGUGGUUCCAGCCUCCUCUGCCCUCUCCCUGGCACAUGUCAGAUCACGUGCAAGGGAGUGGUCUGGGGCCAGACCAAGGGCAUAUCCAGAGAAGAGGGCAUGCAACUCACUAUGUACCCUACAUACUCAUCCGACUUCGUAUCAGAGACCGGAUAUGCUAAAAAUAGAAUCCAGUAUACGGACGUGAACAAGUGGGCGGAGUUGUUUACGGAGUUAUAAUUAUGGGCGUGUACAUCAGAUCAGUGUUUAGCUAGCCAUAGAUAGAAAAGGGAGGGAUUGGAAACGAAUCACGUGUGCCGAACACUCCUUGUCUGCCGGAAGCAUAGAUCAAAGAGGGAAGUGAUCACUACUUAUACUUCCUCAAAAUAAAAAUUGUGUUCCAGCCAGCUGAUUUCGAGUAUAUGGCUUUCUAGUUCUCAAGAAUGGCUUUCUAGCUCAGGUCUACAUUUGCACUGUACAAUGGAAAGUAGUGCUCCGGCUCCAUUUCAGAGUAGGUUUAAGGAAGCUUUUAUGACUGUUUUGACAGAGAGUACAUAGAUUCAAAGCUUCAUCACCAGAGGAAGCAGUUGCCCUCAACACAGCUUCUGCGUUGAUAGUUAAUUUCGUUGGAGGGUUCUGAACAUAGUGUGAUGGUUCGGGCUGAAAUUCUACUCAGAAUUGAAGUCGUGACACUCUGCAGCAUCAUUUAAUUAUCAUGCACAGUUAAAUUUAUAGAAUUGAACAAUUAUUUAUCACAGUUAAGAAUUGAACAUGUGAAUGUGAUUGAAUUAACAUGUGAACAAUUGAUUUCUCUAUA